GCCGGCGUCGGUCACUCCACUCCUGUUUCCGCUGUUCGCGCUGACGAGCUGCUAUUUCAUGCUCAGCAGGUCAGCGGUUCGAGUCCGCUCGCCGGCUCCA
rnacentral:tRNA from 1 species